GACGAACGCUGGCGGCGUGCCUAAUACAUGCAAGUUGAGCGAUGAAGAUUGGUGCUUGCACCAAUUUGAAGAGCAGCGAACGGGUGAGUAACGCGUGGGGAAUCUGCCCUUGAGCGGGGGACAACAUUUGGAAACGAAUGCUAAUACCGCAUAACAACUUUAAACAUAAGUUUUAAGUUUGAAAGAUGCAAUUGCAUCACUCAAAGAUGAUCCCGCGUUGUAUUAGCUAGUUGGUGAGGUAAAGGCUCACCAAGGCGAUGAUACAUAGCCGACCUGAGAGGGUGAUCGGCCACAUUGGGACUGAGGCACGGCCCAAACUCCUACGGGAGGCAGCAGUAGGGAAUCUUCGGCAAUGGACGAAAGUCUGACCGAGCAACGCCGCGUGAGUGAAGAAGGUUUUCGGAUCGUAAAACUCUGUUGGUAGAGAAGAACGUUGGUGAGAGUGGAAAGCUCAUCAAGUGACGGUAACUACCCAGAAAGGGACGGCUAACUACGUG
rnacentral:rRNA from 1 species